CGUCGUGUGGCCCGUCCUCGCACGGCGUGCAUCGUGCGGCCCGUCGUGGGUAGCCUCGAAUCACAGCAACCACGUCCCUCCCUUGUCCGCCGCCGCACCGCUGUUCUUCUCCUACUCUCUCUCUCUUCUGCGACGUUCCUCCUUCCUAUUGGCACGCCUCGCCCCAUCUUCCAUCUUGACGUUCUUCUUCAACACCCCCUCCUCGGCUAGAUGGCGCCUUUGGGGGUGAAGGAGUAGGGGAGGGCUAAGAGGCCAGCGGUGUGGGGUGGAGCAGCGAGGCCGGCGACCCAGGCGGCGGACGCUUCAUGGGGUGGAGGAGAGGCUGGUGAUAGGGAAGGAGAAGAAUCCUCAUGGAGCGGCAGGGAAGGUGAAGUCCCGACGACUGAAGAUGGUGCGCAUGGGAGGAGCUCGGAUGAUGUCAAGGGCUGUAGUAGGAGGAAGGUGCCAAGGAGCUGCGACGCGGUGCCGAGAUGAUCAGGUCGAGCAUGAUGCGCUUGAUGGGGAUGUGCAAUGAUGCGAGUGUGCCGAUCGGGGGAGAAUAAAUAUGCAAGACGCCUGGUGACUGGAGCUGGGUGACCCUAUGAUCCUGUGUUGGUGUUCUGGUUCUUUUGUGGGUGUCUCAUGUCCUUGUCUGUAGUAGUUCACAUGUAUGCUGUGAUAUUUUGGUGCUGCCCAGGUUUUCACCCCACGGCAUUCGUUCAGAUGGCGGGCGAAUGCAGUGGGUUUCCUGGCAGUGCUCGUACUCGCUCUACCUCUUUCCCUCUUCUCCUGACAUGUUUCCAAACCUUUUGUAUUUCCGUUCAUUUGCAAUGGAAAGGGGUAUAGCCCGGUUUGAAAAAAACCUAAAGUCUUGCCUACCAAAAUUGUAUCAUUCAUCCCACACAAUGGUUGGAAUCCCAGUCGUUGAAUUACAGUAGACCAGACCAUGUUUCUCGUUUUGUAUAGUCCAAACAAUAAUACAGAUUCAGCCUGGUGAUGAUUUUCAAUAUAUUGUGAUAGUAGUUUCCUGCAUUGAUUGGUUAAUGAGCCAUCCUUCCGUUUUACUCGAAGUGGUGUAAUAGUUAAAUAGAUGUAUUUGUGCCAUUUAGCUCAUUGUAAUGUAGGAGCUGAUCAGGGUGGAAGAGUAAUCCGUGUUGUGUAGACAACAUCACUGUAAUAUUCUCAGGCGAAUAAAAGAAUAGCUUGCAGUUCAUGGAAAAGCCCCAAAAACAUUCAGUUCAGUUCAGCUGUACAUCUUUUGCUAACCCCUUCUUGGUGCUGAUUGAGCUUUGUGUGUUAAUAUUUUUAUUUGACUACAUUUUUUGCUUUAGUCCUUCCUCUUAGUGUAUAAUGAUCCUGAUUGUGUGAGUUUCUUUCCUGGCAGGGUAGUUAUGCCUCAAUGCGUUCCAUAAAAAAAUGCAUAUAUGUCCUGAAGGUAGGAUUUCAGCUUCAGAUUGUCAUCAAGUUCGUCAAAUUUAUCGUUCGAUGUUGGAACAGUGUACUUUCACGAGUAUUUUUCUACUAAGUACAUAUAAUACUUUCACACAUAUGUUGUAUUAUAUUCCAACUUUCCAAGUACCUUGUGCUUUUGUUCUUGGAUUCUUUCUAAAUGCUCCAUAAGUCCUGCACUAAUUUUGUUAACAAGAUAAUUAAGUGAAACAUGGCUCUGAGCUAUUGUCAUAUCGUAGCUGUAUGGGCUCUAAUUCAGUUUGGCAGUUAUAUUUUCUUUAACUGUUGUAAAAGUCUUAAGCUGUGCUACUUUAGAACUUUCUGAAAUACAAACAGUAGCCAUAGUUCCAUAUGCAUUUCUUUGAUUGUAAUUUCUUGUUGGUACCUUACCAAGCAGGCCGCUUGGUGCGUUUCUAUCUUACAUGUUGUCAUCAAACUGGUGCCACAAAUCCAAUGGAUUUUGUUUCUGUUAAAUCAUAUUAUGUCCAGAAAUGAGCAUGAAUGGUCCACAGCUCAGCUGGCUGUUGUUUUUGUAAGAAAUUACUUUCUUCAUUAUGCAUUUCUCAUGAUUAUUCUGUCUUGAAUAAACAUAUGGUGUGGCACUUUUCGUAUAAUGAUUUUAUAUCUUUCUGGUGUCAAAUCAUGCCAUUGAUUUACUUUCGUGUUAUUUCAUUACUUUCGAUCAUUUUGGCUCUGAAAAGCAAUAAUAUAUAGUAUAUCCAUGGAGUAUAAUAGGUUUGUUUGUUUGUUCUAUCAAGCCAGUUUUAUUCCAUUUGCAUGAGCAUAUACCAAACUUUUUUCAUGCUCGCUCGUGAACAAGGUGAGAGCACUCGUAAUGUAUUUCCAAACAAGGCUUUGACUGAGAUAGGUAUUACUGAUUUCUUUGGAUUGCUAUGCUGCAAAACUUGAUGUAUUGUCUUGGCUAACUCUCCUUUUUUUAAUUCAAAAGCAAAGAAGAUUCCUACAACUACUGGAGAUUUGCAAAGAAUCAUGAAAUCAGAAUAUCCAUGUAUCAAAAGCAAAAAAGAUGCCUACAACUACUAUAUAGGAAUGAUGUUCUAUAUUGCUGCCACAUGAGAAUAUAUAUCGUAGUGCUCUCAAUAUAAAUUAAAAUGUUACUAGGGUCCUUGGUUAAUGCAUUGUUUUUUCCUUUCCCAUCCAGAAUGAUAUUUCAAGAUACAGAAUCAGUAUGAGAUCGCUUUAGGGGGUUUAAACACUUGGAUAAGAUUAAACACAUGUUGUACCGAAUUGGCAGUCCUUCAUCUGAAUUUUCUUGAUAAUGGUACACCAUUUGACGUUGGGUUCUCUAAA